rnacentral:lncRNA from 1 species
UCAAAUUGAAAAAAAAAAUUAGAAAAAUAAAUGGAAACCGAAAAAACAAUUAAUAGCCUAGGAAAAGUAAACCUAAUCUACCCAUUAUUCACACUUCAACACCUGGAAACCAUUAGUCUUGCACGACUUGUCUUAUUGUCUUUCUCAUCCAUUCCAUUUGUCUGUCGAUAGCUCUGCCCAAGGAUACUUUCUUUGCUAUCCUAUUUUGAAAAACAAAUUUCUCCUAAUCCAUUAGUCUGGAUUCAUUACCCGUUGUUCUACUUCACCACCAGUGCGCCGAAUCAGUUCUUCGCUCUCCAGGUAUGUAUUCUCUCCUUUCUUCAAUGAUUCACUUGCGAUAUUAUGAGCUCUCCUAUUCUCUGUUCUCUGAAUGUAUUUGAACUCGAUCUUUUGAAAGCAUGAUUUCUUGCUGUGGAUGUCUCUAAUAAUUGCUCCGAUAAUUGAGUAAUCCCUUGUUGUUGACUGGCAUUUUUGAAUUACUGUUCUUGAGUCACAUAAUAUCUGAUUUUCCUGAAAACCCAUUUCAUUCCUAACUUUACUGCAUCCAAUCCUGCAUGUGCCUCUGCUGCGAACGGAGAUGCAAUAUUGGCAUGAAUGAUUGACUUCAAAACCAGAAACUCGUUUCUUGUACCCCAAAUCACCAGCCUGACGCCGAUCUGUGCUUUUUGUAGUCAAACGCCGCAUCAAAUUAAAUCUUCACCAUCGGUACGUCUUCCCUCACACUUUGUUUAUUGACUGUGUUUGUUAAAAUCUUUUUUGCUCUAAUCCCCUCAAACUCUGUCAUAUGAUUCCGAAUCUGUUACGUGAUGCUUUCACUUGUUGUGUUUAUCUUCUUAUGCAACAGUUGAUUCCUUGAAAACCAGAACAUCCAUAAGGCAAAACAAAAAUAUCUGCAUUGUUCCUCCGACCUUUGUUUGAAAACCUCGGUAAGCCAUUCCCAGAAAUUAAGUUGAAAAAUAUCUGUGACCCAUGAUAAAUUUACUAACUGCCAAACUUCAAUGCUUAUAGGGCAUUGCUUGAGGAUGUGAUGACAGUCUUCCACUUCAUAGCCACAACGAGGGCAUCUGGCGUUGGACACUAUUCUUCUAUGUCUGAGAUUUCCCAAAGUGGUAAUAUAAUUCCAGGAUAUGCACCAGAUUGUAAUUGUAACUUUAGGUGGUAGUUGCAGAUUCCAUAAUUCUCUAAAAAAGUCUUUAGAUUCAGUCUGUAAUAAAUAAUCACUAGGAUCCAGAUUAGCAAUUUGUAAUAGUUUGUAAGCACUGUGAACUGAGUAUGUACCAGUCGGUUUACCCCUUUAGACUUGAAAAUCUUCGUGGUUAGAUUCUGAUAAUGAGAUUUGUAAGAUUGAUCAAGUCACCCUUGGCUGAAAGGUAUUGCUAAUUAACUUUGCCCUCCAUUUCCUAUUAGUAUUAUCAAUAAGAUCCGAAACUAACUUUAUCUGCAUAUUUUUUGAAUUGUUUGGCCUUUCCAAUGAAUCAAUCCCCUGAAUCCAGCAAUCAUCCCAAAUGAAUACCUUAUUUCCUCGUCCAAUUCUCCAGCAUAAUCCUUUUUUAAGGAGACCAUUGGCUGCCCAAAUGCUCUUUCAGGUAAGUGAAGGUAAAGUUCCUAACUGAGCCUUUAAGAAAUUCGAUCUCGGAUAGUAUUUCACUUUCAAAACCCUGGCUAAUAAUGAACAAGGAUAACUAAUCAAACACCAACCUUGUUUAGCAAAUAACGUAAUAUUAAAUUAACUUAAAUUACGAAAACCUAAGCCACUAUUUUCUUUUAAAAAACAAAGGUUUUUCCAAGUACACCAAUGAAUUCCCCUCUUCCCCCAACCCUGCUGCCACCAAUACUUUGCUAAAAUACUUUCAAGCUCCUCACAUAGCGAUUUUAAAAAACAUGCCAUCGAAUAGGUUAGAACAGCUUGCAAAAUUACUAGUACUCCAGUUAUUUAUUCGUUUUUUAAUACGGUCUUUCAAAUUCUGAAAUGCAUCCUUUUUCCUCCUCCCUACCAUAUUUGGCAAACCAAGAUACCUCUCUAGCUCGUUAAAGCUACGAACACCCAGCAAAUUGACUACCCAAUUCUUUUUUUCCUCUGAAGUGUUCUUACUGAAGAAAACCGUUGAUUUAUGAAAAUUCACACAUUGACCCGAGCAACUUCUGUAUUCUUACAAAAUACUUUUUAAUACUUGUGCCCCCUUCUUGUGGCCUAUCUGAAUAAAAUGCAAUCAUCUGUAAAUAAUAGAUGCGAAAUUGAAGGACCGUUUCUACUUACUUUCACUCCUUUCGAAAGCCUUUCUCUUACUCCUAGUCGCAUUAAACUGGAUAAACCCUCACCACAUAACAGAAAUAAGAAAGGACUUAAUGGGUCUCCCUGUCAGAGUCAUCUUAUUGGCUGGAACUUUCCUUCUAAUUGUCUAUUCAAAAUCACUGAAUAAAAGACUGUAGAAACACACUUCAUAAUCGUCUCAAUCCAUCUUGCUGCAAAACCUAUCCGAGUCUUAACUUGCUCUAGAAAAUCCCAUUCCACUUUAUCAUGUGCUUUGCUCAUGUCAAGUUUCACUGCCAUGAACCCUUUCUUCCCCAUCCUCUUUUGCUUUAACGUGUUCAAAACUUCAUAAGCUAACAACACAUUAUCAGAAAUUAAACGUCCCAGCACAAAAGCACUCUAUGCAUCAUCGAUAAAUUUGCCAAUUAUAGCUCGAAAACGGUUCGCAAUAACCUUUGCCAAAAUUUUAUAUAGCAAAUUACAUAGGCUAAUUAGACGAAAAUGCAUUAAAUUAAACGGGUUAGCAAUUUUUAGAAUGAGCACAGUAUUUGUAAAAUUUAGUAAACUAACCUCCAUGCUACCAUUCAAGAGUAGUAAGC